rnacentral:rRNA from 1 species
GUGGUUUAAUUCGAAGCAACGCGUAAGAACCUUACCAGGUCUUGACAUCCCGAUGCUAUUUCUAGAGAUAGAAAGUUACUUCGGUACAUCGGUGACAGGUGGUGCAUGGUUGUCGUCAGCUCGUGUCGUGAGAUGUUGGGUUAAGUCCCGCAACGAGCGCAACCCCUAUUGUUAGUUGCCAUCAUUCAGUUGGGCACUCUAGCGAGACUGCCGGUAAUAAACCGGAGGAAGUGGGAUGACGUCAAAUCAUCAUGCCCCUUAUGACCUGGGCUACACACGUGCUACAAUGGUUGGUACAACGAGUUGCGAGUCGGUGACGGCGAGCUAAUCUCUUAAAGCCAAUCUCAGUUCGGAUUGUAGACUGCAACUCGCCUACAUGAAGUCGGAAUCGCUAGUAAUCGCGGAUCAGCACGCCGCGGUGAAUACGUUCCCGGGCCUU